rnacentral:sRNA from 1 species
UAAUUCAUGGUGUCGGUUGGUUUUGCUA